CAGAGUGACUGAGGGUCAGAGACACAACAUGAGCCCAGGUUCCUCUGACUUCAAACCCAGGGCUGAACUACUAUUCCAUACUGCCUCUUCAUAUGUUGGCUAUACUGGGGUUUGGACAAUUCCUUCUCCUCUCUGAGUCUCAGUUUCCUGAGUUAUAAAGAGAUUGAACUUGAUUUCUGCUAUAAAUAUUUUGGUCCGAGAUGACCAUCACCCCGAGCUGCCACCUCCGAGGAGGCUUAGAAACAGACCUGUGGCAGCAGAGGGCUGCGAGAGGGGCUGUGGGAACGGCAGCCUGGGUUCCAGGAAGCACCAGAUUCCUAGAGGAGGAGGCUCACAGAUGGGCCAAGUAAAUAGACCUAGACAACAGAGGGACACACUUGGGAACCUGUGUGCCAUUUUUGAUCAGACACGGCCAUGUGGCGGAGCGGGUGCAGGGACAAAACAGGUCUGAUCAUCUCUCCAAAAUGCCCCACCCAGGCUAGCACU
rnacentral:lncRNA from 1 species